rnacentral:rRNA from 1 species
AUAUUGGACAGUGCGGCGCAAGCCUGAUCCAGCCAUGCCGCGUGAGUGAUGAAGGCCUUAGGGUUGUAAAGCUCUUUUGCCCGGGAAGAUAAUGAUUGUACCGGAAGAAUAAGCUCCGGAUAGCUCCGUGCC